UUUUUAGGGCCACACCCACAGCAUAUGGAGGUUGCCAGGCUAGGGGUCAAAACAGAGCUGCAGCUGAUGGCCUAUACCACAGCCCAAGCAACGCCAGAUCCAAGCUGCGUCUGCAACCUACACCACAGCUCAUGGCAGUGCCGGAUCCUUAACUCACUGAGCAAGGCCAGGGAUCGAACUUGCAUCCUCAUGGAUACUAUCCCUGUUCAGUAGAGAGAGAUCAGAAGUUACCAUCUGUGCAGAUCAGUUCCUACACUUGAAGCACAUUCCUCAGAGGUGGCAGGAGGUGCAAGAAUAAACUCUGUUUGGGACCAGCCCACUAGACCCAGACAUUGCCUGGAAACAGAUCUGACAAGAAAUGCAGUCAGCCAGCUGUAAUACGGACUAAUAAAGACAAAGACUUGGAAGGGCAAGUUUAAUCCAUGCGUCCCUAUAAAGUUUUACUGAAUUGUGCUUAAUAUCUGCUGCUUUCUCCAAGAGGGAACUAUGCCUCUUCCAGACUCUGCUUUCCAAUCUGGGAAAUGGGAAUGACUAAGUUAGGGAAGUAGUUUUUAAAUGGGAGUGGGGGGCCAGCACUGGGGAAGAGGUACAUAUCUGAAUGACUUGGGGUGGGAGGAGGGAUUUCAAACCACUUUCUGUUUGGUUGUCUUCCCACUUUCAAGAGGGUAGGUGUUUCCCUCUGUCCCUCCUUGACCCCUCUCCAAGUACCACUAUAAAAGACCCUUGGGUGCUGCAGAGCAGAACAAAGCUUGAGGCCUAGGUGAUGCUAGUAGUUUGUGACUCAACCUUGCUCUUGCUGAGGACUUCAGCAUCUAUGAUCACCAGCGCAGACUGAGAGAAGCCACAGAAUCCCAACAGUCCCAGCAGGCAAUGGAAUGGAAAUCUGCAUACUGGGCUGAUUUUAAAAUGUAGCUACAAAUUCUUCGACACACCCUUUGAAUAUAGGCUCACACCAGAAUGCUUCUGAUGAGAAGAGUGUGGCAGAAACAAUGCUAGGUGAUUUGGGAGGCAAGGUCACAAGAAGGAUUUAGAUUCUCCUGGGCUGUCUUGCUCACAGAUCACACGCUCUGGGGGAAGUCAGUGGCCACGUUGUGAGGACACUCAAGCAGUCCUUUAGGGAGGCCCACACAGAGGGGCACAGAGCCAAUAGCCAGUACCAACUUGCCAGCCAGGUGAGAGACCGCUUUUGAAGUGCAUCUCCAGGCUCAGUGAAGCCUAAAUUGACUGCAGCCCCAAGAAGAAUCCAACUGUGCCUCAGGAAGACACCUGAGCCACAACUGCUCAGCAAAGUUGAUCAUGAAUUCCUGAUGCACCAACACUGCUAGUGAUAAUGUUUAUUGCUGUUUUAAGCUAUUAAGCUUGAGCGUUAUUUGUUACACGGUAAUAGACGACAAAUAUACCAAGUUCAUCCAAUUUGGGCAUCUCAGAUUUGGUAAAAGGCCCAAAGACUUGGGUGUGUCGCUAACUUUUUGUCCUCCCUAAGCAUUGGUCUGUGCUUCCAUAAGAUGGGUAUGGCACCAUCUAGGUUGCUGCAGGGUCUGAAGGUGUUUUUGUGACCUGCAAAGAUCUGAAUAAAUGGCAGCGAUGACUAGUCUCAUGUUUUUCUCCCCCAGGAAACAUGAUGCAAUGCUUUGCAAAGCUGGCACAGUAAGGGUCAUAGAAUGUUUAGGCAGUGAAAUAAAGUGGGGUCUGUUCCGACGGCUAGAACAUGGGGCGCAGGUCUUGGAGGACGUACCAGACAAGUCAUUGGCACCCUUUUCUGUCAAGGGCCACAGAGUAAACAUUUCCGGCUUUCUGAGCCAUAUGGUCUGUCACAACAACUCAAUUCUGCCACUGUGGCAAGAAAGCAGCCGUGAACAAUAUGCAAAAAGAUGGGAGUUAACUGUUCCUCUGCCCUUGACCCUUGCUUCUCCAAGUAUGUGGUCCCCAGAGGAGCCCCAGGACCUCCCAGGAGCCUAUUAGAAAUGCAGACUCUCAGGCCACCCAGCGCUAAGCCCCAUCCCUGGGGAGGGGUCCUGCCACAUGCCCCCAUGUGUUCUCAGAGCCACCACCACCUCAGCUUCGAGAAGGCCUGUCUUCGUUCCUUCCUUGCCCCCAGGGGACUUACACACGAUCUUGGGUGACAGUGACCUGAUCAAAGAUCCUCUCAGGCAUCACGAAGGACAACAUCAUCUCAAGAUUCUCCAUGAAUAAGUAAACAACACCUGAUUUGUGGCCCUGGGUCACCGAAACAUGCAGUAGUGGCCAGUCCUGGUCAAAGGCCUUUAAGAAAAUAGAACAAUCUGUGUGGGAGCCACACUCAGAGUAGGGGGUACUGGAUGUGGGGAUACUAAGGGCCACUGCUGUCCCUGUGGCUGAAGGAGCCCUUGCGGUCAGAGGCCAGCCUGACUCCUGGCCCUA
ensembl:lncRNA